rnacentral:rRNA from 1 species
AUCCUGGUGGCGAGUGGCGAACGGGUGAGUAAUAUAUCGGAACGUGCCCAGUCGUGGGGGAUAACGCAGCGAAAGCUGUGCUAAUACCGCAUACGAUCUCUGGAUGAAAGCGGGGGACUCGCAAGGGCCUCGCGCGAUUGGAGCGGCCGAUAUCAGAUUAGCUAGUUGGUGGGGUAAAAGCCCACCAAGGCGACGAUCUGUAGCUGGUCUGAGAGGACGACCAGCCACACUGGAACUGAGACACGGUCCAGACUCCUACGGGAGGCAGCAGUGGGGAAUUUUGGACAAUGGGCGCAAGCCUGAUCCAGCAAUGCCGCGUGCAGGAUGAAGGCCUUCGGGUUGUAAACUGCUUUUGUACGGAACGAAAAGGUCUGCCUUAAUACGGUGGGCUCAUGACGGUACCGUAAGAAUAAGCACCGGCUAACUACGUGCCAGCAGCCGCGGUAAUACGUAGGGUGCGAGCGUUAAUCGGAAUUACUGGGCGUAAAGCGUGCGCAGGCGGUUAUAUAAGACAGAUGUGAAAUCCCCGGGCUCAACCUGGGACCUGCAUUUGUGACUGUAUAGCU